AUACGGAGGAUCCGAGCGUUAUCCGGAUUUAUUGGGUUUAAAGGGUGCGCAGGCGGCCAUUUAAGUCAGCGGUUAAAUCGUGGGGCUCAACCCCAUUCUGCCGUUGAUACUGGGUGGCUUGAUUGCGGUCGAGGUUGGCGGAAUUCGUUGUGUAGCGGUGAAAUGCAUAGAUAUGACGAAGAACACCGAUUGCGUAGGCAGCUGACCAGACCGCAAAUGACGCUCAUGCACGAAAGUGCGGGGAUCGAACAGGAAUAGAUACCAUGGUAGUCCGCACAGGAAACGAUGAAUACUUGUUUUCGGCGAUAUAAUGUCGGAGGCAAAGCGAAAGCGAUAAGUAUUCCACCUGGGGAGUACGCCGGCAACGGUGAAACUCAAAUGAAUUGACGGGG
rnacentral:rRNA from 1 species